CAGUCGCCGCGGUAAAACGAAGGGUGCAAGCGUUAAUCGGAAUUACUGGGCGUAAAGCGUGCGUAGGUGGUGGUUUAAGUCCGUUGUGAAAGCCCUGGGCUCAACCUGGGAAUUGCAGUGGAUACUGGGUCACUAGAGUGUGGUAGAGGAUAGUGGAAUUUCCGGUGUAGCAGUGAAAUGCGUAGAGAUCGGAAGGAACAUCUGUGGCGAAGGCGACUAUCUGGGCCAACACUGACACUGAGGCACGAAAGCGUGGGGAGCAAACAGGAUUAGAUACCCCUGUAGUCCCUGUCUCUUAUAC
rnacentral:rRNA from 1 species